rnacentral:rRNA from 1 species
GAUGAACGCUGGCGGCGUGCCUAAUACAUGCAAGUCGAGCGAACAGACGAGGAGCUUGCUCCUCUGACGUUAGCGGCGGACGGGUGAGUAACACGUGGAUAACCUACCUAUAAGACUGGGAUAACUUCGGGAAACCGGAGCUAAUACCGGAUAAUAUAUUGAACCGCAUGGUUCAAUAGUGAAAGACGGUUUUGCUGUCACUUAUAGAUGGAUCCGCGCCGCAUUAGCUAGUUGGUAAGGUAACGGCUUACCAAGGCAACGAUGCGUAGCCGACCUGAGAGGGUGAUCGGCCACACUGGAACUGAGACACGGUCCAGACUCCUACGGGAGGCACCAGUAGGGAAUCUUCCGCAAUGGGCGAAAGCUUGACGGAGCAACGCCGCGUGAGUGAUGAAGGUCUUCGGAUCGUAAAACUCUGUUAUUAGGGAAGAACAAAUGUGUAAGUAACUAUGCACGUCUUGACGGUACCUAAUCAGAAAGCCACGGCUAACUACGUG